UGUAAGCGUAUACCAAAGUUGUUGCAGUUAAAACGCUCGUAGUCGGAAUUUGGCAGUUCCGGAUGUGUGCACGUCGUGUGCGCACUUCGCGGGGAUUGCUUUUGUGGUCUUGCGUAGGAUGAGGCACUUUUAUUAGUGAACGUCCUCACGCAACCACUUUUUACUGUGAGAAAAUCAGAGUGCUCAAAGCAGGCAUUUGCCGUGAAUGUAUUAGCAUGGAAUAAUAGAAGAGGACUUGGUUCUAUUUUGUUGGUUUGUUGGGACUGAGUAAUGAUUAAGAGGGACAGUUGGGGGCAUUUGUAUUUCGGUGCUAGAGGUGAAAUUCUUAGAUUACCGAAAGACAAACUGCUGCGAAAGCGUCUGCCAAGGAUGUUUUCAUUGA
rnacentral:rRNA from 1 species